rnacentral:tRNA from 1 species
CAAAGAAUAGUUAAAUUUAUAACUCUUGCUUUGGGAGUGAGUGAUGGGAGUUAAAGUCUCCUUUCUUUGA